rnacentral:rRNA from 1 species
CAGUAGCCGCGGUAAUUCGUAGGUGGCAAGCGUUGUCCGGAAUUAUUGGGCGUAAAGCGCGCGCAGGCGGAUAGGUCAGUCUGUCUUAAAAGUUCGGGGCUUAACCCCGUGAUGGGAUGGAAACUGCCAAUCUAGAGUAUCGGAGAGGAAAGUGGAAUUCCUAGUGUAGCGGUGAAAUGCGUAGAUAUUAGGAAGAACACCAGUGGCGAAGGCGACUUUCUGGACGAAAACUGACGCUGAGGCGCGAAAGCCAGGGGAGCGAACGGGAUUAGAUACCCCUGUAGUCCCUGUCUCUUAUACA